GUCAAGUUCCAGCUAGGUGUGGACACAUUCAAACCAGGAGUUGUCAAGUUCCAGCUGGGUGUUCCGGUAGUAGUCCAUUCCAGCUAGGGGUAGACUCAUUCCAGCCAGGAGUCGUCCAGUUCCAGCUUGGUGUUCCAGGAGUAGUCCAGUUCCAGCUUGGUGUUCCAGGAGUCGUCCAGUUCCAGCUUGGCGGGGUAGGAGUAGUCCAGUUCCAGCUGGGUGGAGUGGGAGUAGUCAAAUUCCAUUGAGGACCAUCAGUCGUCUGAUUCCAGCUGGGCGUGCUUGA